CCGACUUUAGCUCAGUUGGUAGAGCGAAAAUCCAUUCAUCCUUAGGUCGUUGGUUUGAAUCCGGUAGGUCGGA
rnacentral:tRNA from 1 species